rnacentral:rRNA from 1 species
UAGCGUAGGGGGGCAAGCGUUUGUCCGGGAUUUAUUGGGCGUAAAGAGCGUGUAGGCGGCCUGACAGGUCUGCUGUGAAAAACUCGAGGCUCAACCUCGAGAUGUCGGCGGAAACCGUCUGGCUAGAGUCCGGAAGAGGAGAGUGGAAUUCCUGGUGUAGCGGUGAAAUGCGCAGAUAUCAGGAAGAACACCUAUGGCGAAGGCAGCUCUCUGGGACGGUACUGACGCUGAGACGCGAAAAGCGUGGGGGAGCGAACAGG